GAUCCUGGCUCAGGAUGAACGCUAGCGACAGGCCUAACACAUGCAAGUCGAGGGGCAGCGAAGAGGUAGCAAUACCUUUGUCGGCGACCGGCGCACGGGUGAGUAACACGUAUGCAAUCCACCUGUAACAGGGGGAUAACCCGGAGAAAUCCGGACUAAUACCCCAUAAUAUGGGCGCUCCGCAUGGAGAGCCCGAUUAAAGAGAGCAAUUUUGGUUACAGACGAGCAUGCGCUCCAUUUAGG
rnacentral:rRNA from 1 species